UAGGGCUUGUCUCACCUGGGCACUGCUCCCGGGUCAUGGCUCGAGCCACAGGCUGUCAUGUCCCAGACUCUGAGCUCCUUUCUAGCUCUUGGUAUACAGUCUGUCUGCUGAUGCUUCCAAACUGUGUGGCUUGUGAGCAUGCUCAGGACCCAGACUCCUAUGCCCAGUGGCUUCUCUAAACGCAUAUCGUUUUGGAUAUGGGGAUAGGCUCCCUGCUCUUUGGGGAGUCAGGAACUCAGUGACUGACCUGUAAGGAUCUUCAAGGCAGCAGGAAGAUAACUAAAAGAGAAAAGAUUCCAAGCAGCGUUCUACAGAAAAUGAGUUAGAAAACCAGUGCCUGUGUGAGUCCAGAGCCCACCUCACCAGUGCCUGGUGACUCCAGGCGCGCCAAAGAAACUCUCUUAAUCUUCGUUGCAUCAUCCGCCCUGCUUUCAAUUGGUUAUUGAAAGGUUUUUGGCUAUUGUCCAUUGUUAGGUUCCUGUAAACGUGGUGAUAGUUAGGCACACUCAUCCUGUGCAAAUAAGAUUUAUUUAUUCAGCUCUCUUAUUGCUCAUGCCUGCCAUAUGCUGGAAGCAGUUGUGUAUAGUGACAAAAACCACACCCAGCCUUCUGGAGGCUUCCACCAUAGUGGUGGGGAAAAGUCCAACUCACCUAGAUGGCAAAUAAGCCAGCUAAUGGUAGGACAGUAUUUGUAGUGCUGGUGCACAAGGACUAGGAGGUCUGUAAAGAAACUGAGGGGACAUUCCUGUCUCCCUCUGAAAGUUCCCUCCUGCUAGAACCACUGGGACCUUAUUGUUCACAGCUGAAAGGGCUAUAGGGACACAGACACCCCGGGAGGCAGUGACAUUGGAAGGUUACAACAACUCUUUAGAGGGGAGAGGGACAUGGGACAUGGGUGAUCUAGCGGGGUAGCCCGGAGUGAGUCAGACCACAAACAAUAAUAGCUUAUAUGGAACCAAAUUCCCCUGGCUCUGGAGAGGUGUACAGUUCUGGAAAGGUGGGGGACAGAGUUGUCAUGAUGGACCCUGUCCUCGAAGUCUCCAGAAGAGACAAAAAAAAAAAAAAAAAAAAACAAACAAACAAAAAAAAAAAAACAAAAAAAACAUGUCUGGGUAUGGUUGAGGGAGGAUCUUUUGAAAGCUGCCUUCUAUGAGAGGAAGGCAUGAGAGAGGGUUGGGAAGGAUUCCCGAGGUAACAGGAAGGCUUGGGAACUUACUGCCAGAGCUCUGACCUUGGAGGAGUGUUUCCUGAGCCUCAACAGUAUGGCUUAAUCCGCUUGUGAUCUGAAGCUCAGAAGAGUGUGUCAGCAAGCCGGGUUAUGGAGGGUGGAGACUCCUAAGGUUUCUGGGAGUGGGUUUACUAGAGGCUAUUGGGGAGCAGCAUAGUGGGAGCUGGUAAGGGACAGCAUGGGGGGAGCCCCUCCACACGGGCAGAACAGUAUCCUCUUAUUCUCAUUGAGCACUUUGCACUUCGUCUCGACUGUCGUCUCCUGUUCUCUAGGUUUCAGAGUUACUAAGUCAGUGGAGGUUUGUUCUGAAUCCCCAAAGCAUUCUUUAAAACAUGCUUGACGAGAUGGCUCGGCUGACUUACCAAACCAGACAACCUGAGUUCGAUUCCCCAGAACCCAUGUAGUGGAGAGAGAGAACUGACUUCACAGUUGUUCUCUGACCUCCAUCCAGGAACCCACCCAGCCAUGCACGUAAAACGGAUAGAUUGAAAUGUAAGAAAACAUGGUCGGAAUGUGGAAGGGAGAAUACAGCGGCAUGGUGUCAGUCCCCUGGGUGACAGUCCUGUCCGCUGCAUCCUUCAGAGGGUGGUUAAAAAGCACGAACAUGCUUGGCUCUGCUUUAGUGAUGCUGUGUAUGGGAAAGCGACCUGACCACAGGUGGGUCCUCCGCAUCACAGGCUCACAGGGCUUCGGUGCCUGGGUGCUCUGGGCCAGGCUUGCUGAGGUCAGCUUGGGUUGGACGGAUCUGCAGAUGGGAAGCCAUUCCACGUGCGUCCUUCCAGUGCCGCAGAGACAGUAUUGGGAGGAAGGGAAUGAAUAAUGAAUGAGUGUUUGUGAAGUCAAACUGCUUCUGGAAGGAUUCUGCGAACAGGAAACAGCGAAUGUGGACAGCCUUGUAUGGCUCUCUCUGCAAGAGACUGCCAAGAGCGAGGGCUGCAGCCUACAAAAGUGAAUGUGGCACCGAGGCCACGGGAUCAGGGAAAUAAGGCUGUGGUUCCUCAGAGUGUGGCCCCAGGGGUCCUAGAGCCCCCUGCCCUGUCUGUGCCUUCAGCACAGCAAAACAAGUCAUCCAGCAACAUGUGGCUGUCCGCUGUCAACCUUGUUUCUCGUGGGCACGUGUUAGACAGAACGCACAGUUGAGGUAGGCUGGAGACAAGCCCUGAGGAAUAAACAGAAGACGGUGGUACUCAGCAGUCACCGGCCAGAGCAGUGAGUGCCGGACUGCAGGGGAAAGCCACUUGGGAGUAGUAGUAGUGUUGGGUAAAUGUCUGAAGGAUAAGAUAGCCCCAGGGCCAGACCCUGGGAAGAGGCCAAGGUUUCUGGGGGUGGUUGGGCUGGCAUGGCCUGGUCUUGAGGACUGAGCAUAAGAACCAGGAGCAGGGAUGACAGAGAGUCCAGGAAGGGGGAGUUUGUGGCCCAGGGAAAGAAGUCUGGAUUUUUCCUAAUGUCUCUGGGAAUCAGAGCUCUAAGCCAGAGGUGAAGAGUCAGGUCUAUGCUCUGCAGAGAUGAGCAGGGACAUAGCCAAUGGGGAAGAGGAUAGCUGUAGAUCAGGCUAGCCUCGAACUCAGAGAUCCACUUGCCCCCUGUCUUCCUGAGUGCUCGUGUCUCCAUGCCAGAUGUCCUGGUUAGGGUUUCUAUUGCUCUGAGGAAACCCAGCCGGGGACACUCAGGGUUAGACUCAGAGACCCCUUCAGCUUUGUGGAUAGUGGUGUCUUCCUACUUGAAAGGAUAUCUUUAGCUGGCCUGGCAGCCGGCGUCUGGCUCACCAACAAGCCCGAGUUCCUCUGCACCAGGGGUGGGGCCCCGGCCACAAGUUCUAGGAUCACAUGCUUCUACUUUGCAGAAAUGAGAUAACCAGUCUCGCCACUGUCUUAACUGAUAACUUCCCCUCCUUUGGGGUGGGGCCACGAGCGUUUGUUUUUCAGCUUCUGAGUAGCAGAGCUGAGUUGGGUCACAUCUGCCAGCAUUUGCAAAACACCCCAUGCGUGUGCCCUGUUUCCCUCCCCGCCUCACCCGUGUGCAGGGGAUUGAAUGGAGGGCCAUGCACAUGUUAAGCUAGUGGUCUAAACUGAAACGUACCCAAACUCUCCCCUCCUUCCCUACCUUUCAGAUUUUUUGUUGUCGAUGAUACUUUGUAGUUUGUUGUUGUUGUUGUUGUUGUUGUUGUUUUGUAUUUGAGACAGGGUCUCAAUAUCCUGUUGUGAAACUCGCUAUGUAAAUCAGGCCAGCCCGGAACUCGGAGAUCCACUUGCUUCUGCUUCCUUGAGUGCUGAGGUUAAAGACUCCUGUCACCAUUGCUGGGUGUCCUGGUUAGGGUUUCUAUCGCUGUGAGGAAAAACCAUGACCAAGGGAUCAAGUAGGGGAGGAAAGGGUGUAUUUGGCUUGUGCUUCCACAUCACUUGAGUUCAUCAUAGAAGGAAGCCAGGACGGGAACUCAAACCAGGCAGGAGCCUGGAGGCAGGAGCUGAUGCAGAGGCCAUGGAGGGGGGCUGCUUACAGGCUUGCUCAGUCCAUUUUCUUAUAGAACGGAUGGCACCACCCUCAAUGGACUGCAUCCCGGCCCCCAUCAAGCACUAAUUAAGAAAAAGCCCUACAGGCUUGCCUAUAACCUGAUCUUAUGGCCACAUUUCUCAGUUGAGCCUCCUUCCUCACCAGUGACUCUGGCUUGUGCCAGGUUGACACAAAACUAGCCAGCACAGAAGCCUUCUUCUUGAGUCUUGGCUGGUUACUCAGGCUGGCCUUGAACUACUGAUCUUCUUGCCUCAGCCUCCCAAGUAGCUGGGAUAACAGGCCUGUGUUGUUAGACCUGGCUUUUCUCUUCCUCCUCCCCCUCUCACUCCUCCUCUUCUAACAGGGUCUCAUGUAGUCCAGGCUAGCCUUGAUCUUGCUAUGUAGCUAAGGAUGACACUUUCUAGUCCUACUUUUACCCUUGCAUGCUAGGAUAGGCAUGACGCACCACUCCCAUUUAUGUAGAACCAGGGACCAAACACCCUAGCAACUUAGCUCCACUCCAGCUCUCGUUCUCGUUAAGGGACCUCCCCACAAGUCCCACAAAGCUGAAUCAGGCCACCGUGGCAGUUGAGGUUUUUCCUCCUCAGACCCUUGGUGGCUGAUGCUAUGGUAGUGACCAGGUCCUUAGCUCCAGGGCAGGAGAAAUUCCCAAGGCCAUGGGGGUUAGUCUGGAGGACUGUUCUGUUCUUGGUGUGCAAUGUGGCUGCAUUGAUCUGUGUGUGUGUGUGGAGGGUCGGGGGAUGUCAAGGCCUUUGCUCCUUAGGAGAAUUUUGUGAUCAUUAGUUCCUUCUGUAUGGGAGGGAAGUGGGAAGGCCUGAAGUCAGGGGACUUGCUAGAACUGUCUCACAGGUAGAUUCUGAAGGUCUAUGUCUAGCAGGGAGUCAGUAGAUGCACAGGACUUUCCCUGUUUAAUAUCUUCCUCUGUCUUCCUCUGUCUGUCUGUCUCUGUCUCUCUCUCUAGUGUGUGUGUGUGUGUGUGUGUGUGUGUGUGUGUGUGUGUGUGUGUGAGUGUGAGUGUGUGUGUGUGUGUGUGAGUGUGAGUGUGAGUGUGAGUGUGGAUGUGUAUAUAUAACUACAGGUGCGAAGACCUUACCUUCCAGUUUGCUGGACACAGGGCCUCUUGUUUUGCCAAAGCCGUGCCGGGCUGGCCGACCCACGGGCCUCCCUGGAUUCUCCUGUCUCCACCCACCAUCUUACCAACAGAGAACUGACACCGCAGGCAUAUGUUUACGAGAUGUAUGGAGAUUCAAACUCGGGCUACGUGCUUGUGUGGCAAGUGUUUUACCCACAGAACCAUUGUUCCCAGUCUGGGUUUUAAAACGGGCCCAGUGCGUAUGGAGUCCUGACUAGAGCUGAUAAUACACCGGUGUGAUGGCAGCGUGUUCUCCAGGCCUGGGGAGGCUGGCAACCCCUGAGCAGGAGUCCCGAGCGGAGGCUGCACUGCCACACGGAACACGUUGGAUGAGAUGAACUUCGAGAUCCUCUGAGCCCUGAGAUUCUAGGGUCUGCCACCUGCCCUCCCACACUGUCACUGGACUUAGAGGGAAAAAACACCUUGUUUAGAGCUCUGUGGGAGCUGGGGACAGCACGGGAUCUUGGUGGCUUUUGGCAGCAGCUGGAUGCUUGAAGCUAGGUGCAGAUUUGCUUCCUAUCCCACUGCCAUCAGAAAGCUCUCGGCAGCUUCAGGUUGGCUGGGACCGUGUUUUAGAGUGCUUGGGUUUGACCCUUGUGUCAUGGUACUUCAACAUCAAUGGGCUCAAUCCGAGACCUCUGACCUGUCCUGCAAGGUUACAGUUUUACAGUCUGUCCCAUCAUCCAGCCACCAGAUUCCGUGCUUCAGAUCCAGGAAAGGGCCAUAGGGGUCAAUGCACUAAUUCCUCAGUGUGUGUGUGCACGUGAGUGUGUGUACACGAGUGCACACAUGUGCACAUGCAUGCAUGCCUUAGAAGACCAGAGGUGGAAUCGAGGAACUGUGGAUAUUUUGUCAUGGCUAUGCCAUUAGCUUCCAACAUCACGGGCAAGGUGCUCUGUUCCUCUACAAAGGAGACAUGAACGUCAGGGCUGGACCUAAAUUUUUUUCAUCAAUGGAUUCUUAUGAAUAAUUCAGUCAGGGCCGUGCUUUACAGGGUUUCAAAGGACUUUUCAUGUACACGAUGUCAUCAAAUUGUCCUAACAGCUGGAAGCUGGUAUUGCCUUCAUUUUGCCAAAGAAGGAAUGGAGUCUAAAAGGCCCAGGAGGAGCAGGGCACCACAGAUGUUCACUGUUUCAGAAUGGGCGUCUAUAGGCGUGUCAUAUGCUCAUCGUGCUAAUGACAGGCCCUGAAAUGUGACAGUGAUAUGGUCCCUAGGCUUCUCCUGUUCACAGUGACACCUCUACUCCUCACGGGGACAGUGUCUUGUUAUGUAGUCCAGGAUGGUCUGGAAUUCAUAAUCUUUCUGCUUCUGCCUCCUGAUUGCAGAGUGCAUGUGCCAUGUGGGUCACUGUGCCCCAUGUGCUGCUGACUGAGCUCUGCAGACCCUGCGCUUCCCCCUCCUCCUCUCUCUCUGUCAUGUGUCUGCUUUGACUGGGAGAGACCAGCUAGGUUAGCCAGACUCUACUGUGUACACACCCGCAGCCUGCGUCUCCAGCUGUGACUCUGGACAGGUGACUUCCUCGACACUCUCAGGUGUAAACUAAGGAUAAUCUCAGCAUGUGCGGCAUGGAAUAGCCGCAGGAAUCCCAUCAGAUAAUCUACUGGCAGUGGUGCCUGGCCCACUCCAUCGGUUUAUUUACUUAUAGGCUUUCAUCUUGGCCCUCUUGCAAGCCAGGCAAGAGUCCCAGCCCUGAGCUACACCCCUGAUCCCGCUCUUAGCUGUCGCCAUCUCCGUUCUUGUAAUUAUUGCUUUCAUGGAGUAAGCAUAUUCAUCUUUGUUUGGACUGAUAUAUAUGUAUACACACACACACACACACAUACACACACAUAUAUUGCAAUCAUAGUCUAACAUGGAUACGCAUUUAAAAAAUUUUAGCAGUUGUUUAAUUGUUUUCAAUAUUAUGUAUAUUGCGUGUCUCUGUGGGAGCGCAUGUGCCACAGGGCCACGUGGAGGUCAGAAGACAGCUUUGUGGAGUUGAUUCUCUUCUCCCACCUUUCGGCGACAUUCUUCUUUCUGUGGCUGCGAUGACACAUCUUGAGAAAAAGCAUCCUGGGGGAGGAAGGGUUUUGGCUCACCGUUCCAGCUCACAGUCUUUACCAUGGGGGUGUCCCAGCGGCAGCGGCUCCAGGCAGCUGUCACCACAUCCACAGUCAGGAGCCUGGAGACAUGAACACACGCACACACGCCAACUCUCGGUAGUCUUUUGCUUCCCGUACACAGGCCAGGACCCAAACCCCAGGGAGUGUUGCUGCCGCUUUCAGGUGGGCUCUUGCCACGUCAAUUAAGGCAAUCAAGAAAAUCCCCUGCAGACAAGUCCACAGACCAGCUCGAGCUAGACAGUCCCUCAUGGACUCAUUUCUCUUCCCUAAGUGCUUCUGGGUUUUGUGACGUUGACAAUUAAAACCAGCCCUCAGAUGCGGUUUAGGGGAUCAGACUCAGGUCAGAAAGCUAUGUGACAAGCAUCUUACCUACUGAGGGUGUCUCACUGACCCCUUGAUUUUUAUUUAAGACAAGGUCUUGCAGUGUGGGCCAGGCUGGCCUCCAACCCUUGAUGACUCAGAGAGCCGCUCAGCCCAGCUCCUUAGACAUACCCUUAAUAAAUCUAUUCCGUCUGGAAGCCCCAGUGGCCUUCGGUUUUCUUCUUAGCCUCUGUUUUUCAGAGCUCCACCUGAAUUCACAGUGAGCCCCUUGAAAUCCAGGCUUGGGAACCUGCCUUACCACGGCCAACCCACAGAACACCCCAGCGAGAUGGAGAGGGAGGAGGGAGGCUGUGUGUAAUUUACAGCGGCCCUCCUCGAUACCAUUUGGCAUUCUACAUGCUGCCAUAGCCAUUAGCAGUCACUUUUGAGUAUUUAUGAUCUUGCGGCUGGAGCACUUUGAGUCUCAUAACAGAAACAGGGUCACAUUUAGAGAAUGUCCCCAAUGCCGUGCUGGAAAAUGAGACCCCCCUCCCUUCUCCUCCCCAGGCUGAUGGAUGGGGCCAGGCAGGCAGAGUGUGGUGGCUCUCCAGGCUACACUGUACCUUUUUUUCACAUACCCCAGCUGGCUGUGUGACUCAGACCUCACCUACCAGGCCAGUGCUGUCUGCUUGGAGGUGGCCAGGGUGAGUAGGGUAGAAAGACAGGCCACUAAAUAUUAGGUUGGCUUCCUGGUGAUGGAGAUGAAGCUGGGAGCUAGCAGCAGUCCCCCACAGUCCUCAAUUAGUUCUGUCUGGUUCCCUAGUGGACCGCUAGAGCUUUUGUGAUUAGAGAGAGGGAGGGCUCAGCCGUUAAGAACACUUGUUACUCUUACAGAGUUCAGCCCAGGUUCAAUUCCCAGGAGGCUCACACCCACUGUAAUUCCAGCUCCAGUGGUUCUCAUGCCCUUUCUGCUCCCUAGGCAUGCGGCACACAUACAGACAUGCAAUCAAAACACUCUGUACACAUAACAUAAAAUUAAAAAGAAAGGGAAGAAAGAACGCUGAAGUCGGAGUGCAGGCUAGACCAGAUACCCAAGCCCACCUGCACUGCUGUGUCUGUUAGGGGCCUCCAGUUUCCCCUUGUUAAGCCGAGAGCCUCCUCCACCCACUCGAUUGCUGGACUCCCUGCAGGUAUCUGGCAGCCAAAUUAUACAGGAGUGCUGAUCAAGAGAAGUCAUGAGCUUCAAAGGAGGAGGAGAACUAGGGUGUACGUUGCCAAGUUUAGUUAAAAGCUAGGAUGGUUAACACAUUUGAGAAGGGGCGCUGUCCUCAGCACUCUGAUGCACCGGCCUGCUAGGGAGAGUUUUCAGUGAAAGGUCUGAGGGAGAUGUGAGUUCCUGUUCUUGUCCCUGCCAUCUCCAUGAGCCUGGGACCAAGAUUAGCAUCUAUAGAUCUCCCCUCCUCUCUCUUUCCCUCCCCCUCCUCCCCUCUCCUGCUCCCCUUCCUCCUCCCCCUCUCCUCCUCCCCUCCCUUCCUCCUCCUUCUCUUCCUCUCCCUUCCUCCUCCUUCUCUUCCUCUCCCUCUCCUCCCUUCUCUCCUCUCUCCUUUCCUCUCCUGUCCACUAAUGGCCCCUGCCCUGUCCUCCUCUCCUUUCUCCUCUGAGUCUCAUUAUAGCCCAGGCUGUCCUUGAAUUCCUCCUAGUCUCCCUCUCACCAAGGCCCGCUGCCUGUCUGUCUCUCUGAUGCCCACUUUCGAGGCUGGCUUUAGGUUCAGAAAGCAGGGGGACCAACUGCCAUUCUGAGUGCCUUGUCAGCUGGACCCGGGCCCUUCGUAUCCACUUCUGCCCCAACAAGGGCUUUCAGGGCUUCCCACUCUUUCCCCCCAGAGAUCAGGAUGUGACCUCAACCCUGGGGUGACCUAGAACUGUGCACCAUGGCUGCCAGCGCUCUGAGACUCAGAUGAUGCCCCGCCUCCCACCUGUUUUAUCCUUCUGCUCUGUACACGAAUUCCCCCUAUUGCCCACCCUUUCCUUCAACGGUAAAAGUAUAAAUGUUAAAACAGAGAGAAAAUAGAAGAGGCUGGCUUAUUUCCUCCUCGUUCUUACCCAGAGACUCCCGGAUGUUAUUAUUUUUUUAAACCCUCCCAUCACACCUUCAGCCUUGAAAGCAUUUUUUAGUCAUUAAUUAGUAAUCCGUAUUAAUAUGCAGAUUGAAUUCAUCUGGUUCAGGCAAAAGUUUGUCUGGAGGAAACAAAGUAGCUAGCGCUGUUAGAUCCCUCCACCUGCGGCUCCCAGUCUACCCUCCCCCGGCACCUCUCCCUGAACAUUAGCAGGAUUAUGGCUGAUUAGGAAGGGCUAGUGGGGCUCAAGAGUGUGUGCAGCCCCAGGGGCACUCUGGGGGAGGACAAGCCCCGCUCUGAGGGCUCUGCUGCACGGAUGCCAUCUGGGGAAUCAUUAGCUUUUAGAACUGAAAUUGGCUUCAUAAAUACUCAUCUACAAGAAGCGGUUUCUGUUCCCUUUUUUUUUUUUUUUUCAGCUGAAUUCCUGCUUGACUGUUAUUGUCUGAGGAGGUUUUUUUUUUUCCCCUUUCAGAAAAAAAAGUGUAUUCUCUAUAAUAUGACUACUGAUCGCUCUCUUACUGUGUGUGCACCAGGCACCCAGCGAGCCGAGGGUUCGAUGUCAUAUACACCUCUGGAGGAGAGCUGUCAUUUCUUCCUGGUGCAAAUGGGGAAGUUGUUACUCAGUGAAGGGACAUCUGAAGGCUGGUGAAGGGCAGAGCUGGUGUGAGAACCCUUUGUUGUUCUGUUUGGUUUUCAGUGUUUUUCAGGAAGGUCUUUUCACCGUGUAGACCAGGCUAGCCCAGAACCUAAGAUGAUCCUCCUGCCCCAGUUUUCCCCGGUGCUGGGAUUACAGGCUUGCACGACCAUGAACUGCUUGGAUGUGAGCUCAGAUCCCUCUAGUCUGUGCUUUUCUUUAGUUGACCAUUCAAAGCCUUUCCAGGCCUGGCUGCUAGUUUCUAUGUGUCCUCACACGGUCAUCCUCUGCAGACGUCUCCACACUGUCCCCUGCAGGGUGACACCAUCUUUUCCUCAUCUUGCAGGAAGGGACCUUAGGAACUGAUUUCUGUAAUUGAGAGGAGUUGGCCUGCUUGUCCUGGGCAUGGCCCACAGUCACCCUCCUGGGUAGGAAGGGCCUGUGUCCUCUGCUUAGAGGCCUUGCUGAGGUGAUAGGCCUGAGUCCCUGGGCCCAGUCUUUGCUGAGGUGAUAGGCCUGAGUCCCUGGGCCCAGUCUUUGCUGAGGUGAUAGGCCUGAGUCCCUGGGCCCAGUCUUUGCUGAGGUGAUAGGCCUGAGUCCCUGGGCCCAGUCUUUGCUGAGGUGAUAGGCCUGAGUCCCUGGGCCCAGUCUUUGCUGAGGUGAUAGGCCUGAGUCCCUGGGCCCAGUCUUUGCUGAGGUGAUAGGCCUGAGUCCCUGGGCCCAGUCUUUGCUGAGGUGAUAGGCCUGAGUCCCUGGGCCCAGUCUUUGCUGAGGUGAUAGGCCUGAGUCCCUGGGCCCAGUGCUUAAGUGGCUCACAUUCUCUUAGGGAAGAAACCCUGAGUUCUGGGCAGCCUGUGGAUUGGCAGCUUCUGACUCUAGCCUUAUCUGAAUUUUAGUAAGCAGCUACUAAAAGCCAAGCUUUGUGCUCAGAGGGCGACGUCUAUGACUCUUGUUCUUGGCUGAUAGGAUUGUGGGUGAGCCUGUAGGCCAGCUGAGAAAAACCUGAAGUUCACGGAGGGCUGAACUGUUUUAAGUAGAGCCGCUUAGGACAUGGAGAGUGUCCAAAUCCAGAUGCUUCCAUUCCAGUUCCCUUGUGGUAUUGUGCUCCCCGUGUGUGUGUGCGUGUGUGUGUGUGUGUGUGAGAGAGAGAGAGA